rnacentral:rRNA from 1 species
GACAAACAAGAUCAAGUUAAGAAUAAAAACAGCAAAAAAUGGGGUUAGAGGCAAUGCGAAUAUUAAGUCAGAAAGAAAAAUUAUGUUUUUUGUGGAGGUGGAAUUUGUGCAAAAAGAAUAACUUUUUAUUUUCUUGUGUCUUGAUGCCCCGAAACCUUAUGUUAAAACCGGGAUUAGAUACCCCGUUAUUUGAGAUGUAAAUUUUAAUUUAGUAUUUAAUUUGCUUGAGUAUUACGAAUUUUUUAACUAUUGUUAUUUAGAUUAUUUAAAACUCAAAAGACUUGGCGGUGCCUUAAAUCCUUCCAGGGGAACCUGUCCUAUAAUCGAUAAUCCACGAUUUAUCUUUCCUUUUUUUGAAUUUCUAUUUAUCAGCUUGUAUACCGUCGUCGCCAGAUCACCUCUAAGAGCGAAAGAGUUAUCAGCAAAACUGGAUAUUACUUAUUAUAAUUUAAUGUUAUAAUAUUCUAUAUUUUUGGACGUCAGAUCAAGGUGCAGUCUAUAGAAAGGAAGAGAUGGGUUACAAUAGUUAAUUACUAUACGAAUUCCUUGUUGUAAAAUAAGGUUGAAGGCGGACUUGGAAGUAAUAUCGACAGGAGUAGAAAGUCUUGAUGAAGAUGGUCCUAAGGCGUGC